UACGUAGGGUGCGAGCGUUAAUCGGAAUUACUGGGCGUAAAGCGUGCGCAGGCGGUUUGUUAAGACAGAUGUGAAAUCCCCGGGCUUAACCUGGGAACUGCAUUUGUGACUGGCAAGCUAGAGUAUGGCAGAGGGGGUAGAAUUCCACGUGUAGCAGUGAAAUGCGUAGAGAUGUGGAGGAAUACCGAUGGCGAAGGCAGCCCCCUGGGCCAAUACUGACGCUCAUGCACGAAAGCGUGGGGAGCAAAC
rnacentral:rRNA from 1 species